rnacentral:misc_RNA from 1 species
GAUGAAGGACGUAGCGAAAUGCGAUACGUAAUGUGAAUUGCAGAAUUCAGUGAAUCAUCGAGUCUUUGAACGCACAUUGCGCCCCCUGGUAUUCCGGGGGGCAUGCCUGUCCGAGCGUCAUUGCUGCCCUCAAGCACGGCUUGUGUGUUGGGCCUCCGUCCUCCUCCCGGGGGACGGGCCCGAAAGGCAGCGGCGGCACCGCGUCCGGUCCUCGAGCGUAUGGGGCUUCGUCACCCGCUCUUGUAGGCCCGGCCGGCGCUUGCCGACACAUCAAUCUUUUUUCCAGGUUGACCUCGGAUCAGGUAGGGAUACCCGCUGAACUUAAGCAUAUCAAUAAGCGGAGGA